AGCGAACGCUGGCGGCAGGCCUAACACAUGCAAGUCGAACGAAGUCUUCGGACUUAGUGGCGGACGGGUGAGUAACACGUGGGAACGUGCCUUUAGGUUCGGAAUAACUCAGGGAAACUUGUGCUAGUACCGAAUGUGCCCCUCGGGGGAAAGAUUUAUCGCCUUUAGAGCGGCCCGCGUCUGAUUAGCUAGUUGGUGAGGUAAAGGCUCACCAAGGCGACGAUCGGUAGCUGGUCUGAGAGGAUGAUCAGCCACAUUGGGACUGAGACACGGCCCAAACUCCUACGGGAGGCAGCAGUGGGGAAUCUUGCGCAAUGGGCGAAAGCCUGACGCAGCCAUGCCGCGUGAAUGAUGAAGGUCUUAGGAUUGUAAAAUUCUUUCACCGGGGACGAUAAUGACGGUACCCGGAGAAGAAGCCCCGGCUAACUUCGUGCCAGCCGCCGCGGUAAUAC
rnacentral:rRNA from 1 species